UAGGGAAUCUUCGGCAAUGGGGGGAACCCUGACCGAGCAACGCCGCGUGAGUGAAGAAGGUUUUCGGAUCGUAAAGCUCUGUUGUUAAGGAAGAACGAGUGUGAGAAUGGAAAGUUCAUGCUGUGACGGUACUUAACCAGAAAGGGACGGCUAACUACGUGCCAGCAGCCGCGGUAAUACGUAGGUCCCGAGCGUUGUCCGGAUUUAUUGGGCGUAAAGCGAGCGCAGGCGGUUAGAAAAGUCUGAAGUGAAAGGCAGUGGCUCAACCAUUGUAGGCUUUGGAAACUGUUUAACUUGAGUGCAGAAGGGGAGAGUGGAAUUCCAUGUGUAGCGGUGAAAUGCGUAGAUAUAUGGAGGAACACCGGUGGCGAAAGCGGCUCUCUGGUCUGUAACUGACGCUGAGUCUCGAAAGCGUGGGGAGCGAACAGG
rnacentral:rRNA from 1 species